GAUGAACGCUGGCGGCGUGCUUAACACAUGCAAGUCGAACGAUGAAGCCCAGCUUGCUGGGUGGAUUAGUGGCGAACGGGUGGGUAACACGUGGGUAACCUGCCCUUAACUCUGGGAUAAGCCUGGGAAACUGGGUCUAAUACCGGAUAGGAGCGUCCACCGCAUGGUGGGUGUUGGAAAGAUUUAUCGGUUUUGGAUGGACUCGCGGCCUAUCAGCUUGUUGGUGAGGUAAUGGCUCACCAAGGCGACGACGGGUAGCCGGCCUGAGAGGGUGACCGGCCACACUGGGACUGAGACACGGCCCAGACUCCUACGGGAGGCAGCAGUGGGGAAUAUUGCACAAUGGGCGCAAGCCUGAUGCAGCGACGCCGCGUGAGGGAUGACGGCCUUCGGGUUGUAAACCUCUUUCAGUAGGGAAGAAGCGAAAGUGACGGUACCUGCAGAAGAAGCACCGGCUAACUACGUG
rnacentral:rRNA from 1 species